UUACGGCCAUAUCACGUUGAAACACUGAUCUCGUAUGAUCACCAAAAUUAAUCCACGUCGAGCAUGGUCAGUACUUAGAUGGGUGACCGCUUGGAAAUACCAGGGGCCGUAA